GCGAGGCGGGCGUGGGGGGCGCGGCCGCCAGCGCGCGCACUCCACCACCGUGCUGGCUCACCUGUACGAGCCGCCUGCACGCGCGCACAACGCGGCGCGGGCGCCGGCGCCUUGCAAGACGACAUGCGCGCCGUACCACACGGAGCUCGGCGACCCCGACUCGCGGUGGACGCUCUCCUCCGGGGACGAGGUGGCGCCUGCCGCCCGCUUCGCCCGCGCCGCCAGGGCCUCCCGCGCCUCCCGCGCCUCCCGCGCCUCCGAGCAAUCCCUCAUCGAGGUGCCCCGUUGGCGGGAGAAGCUGUACCCGAUCCUGACGUCGGCGGAGGGCACAGAGCCCCUGGAUGACCGGGAGCGGGAGCGGCGCCAUAAGAAGCUGGAGGCGGAGGAGAAGAGGCAGCAGAGGUGGUACGUGCGGCGGCUGCGCGAGGAGCGGCACACGGAGCACCUGCGGCGGCGCGAGCG